rnacentral:rRNA from 1 species
AGUCGAACGGCAGCAUGAUCUAGCUUGCUAGAUUGAUGGCGAGUGGCGAACGGGUGAGUAAUACAUCGGAACGUGCCCUGUAGUGGGGGAUAACUAGUCGAAAGAUUAGCUAAUACCGCAUACGACCUGAGGGUGAAAGUGGGGGACCGCAAGGCCUCAUGCUAUAGGAGCGGCCGAUGUCUGAUUAGCUAGUUGGUGGGGUAAAGGCCCACCAAGGCGACGAUCAGUAGCUGGUCUGAGAGGACGAUCAGCCACACUGGGACUGAGACACGGCCCAGACUCCUACGGGAGGCAGCAGUGGGGAAUUUUGGACAAUGGGCGAAAGCCUGAUCCAGCAAUGCCGCGUGUGUGAAGAAGGCCUUCGGGUUGUAAAGCACUUUUGUCCGGAAAGAAAUGGCUCUGGUUAAUACCUGGGGUCGAUGACGGUACCGGAAGAAUAAGGACCGGCUAACUACGUGCCAGCAGCCGCGGUAAUACGUAGGGUCCAAGCGUUAAUCGGAAUUACUGGGCGUAAAGCGUGCGCAGGCGGUUGUGCAAGACCGAUGUGAAAUCCCCGAGCUUAACUUGGGAAUUGCAUUGGUGACUGCACGGCUAGAGUGUGUCAGAGGGGGGUAGAAUUCCACGUGUAGCAGUGAAAUGCGUAGAGAUGUGGAGGAAUACCGAU